rnacentral:rRNA from 1 species
CCUACGGGAGGCAGCAGUAGGGAAUCUUCCGCAAUGGACGAAAGCCUGACGGAGCAACGCCGCGUGAGUGAUGAAGGUCUUCGGAUCGUAAAACUCUGUUAUCAGGGAAGAACAAAUGUGUAAGUAACUGUGCACAUCUUGACGGUACCUGAUCAGAAAGCCACGGCUAACUACGUGCCAGCAGCCGCGGUAAU